GAGUGAUGAUGUGGACAUGCUGGUUGGUGAGAUAGACUGGCACCAGGGAGUCAAACUUCUUCACUUGGAAACUAUCUUGAUUAGACACAGCCCAGAGACCAAGACUCUGAAUAAGAAAUAUUUCUGACAGCAAAUUGAAAGCAAUUUGUUCCAAGACAUGUGUCAAAUCAAGCAUUUAGGGUGGUCAGUCCCACCAAUAUUGACUCUGUCAUCAUUCGGAAGGAAUGAGAGAUGAGGCUACAGCCCUGCCAGGUUUUCCACAUGGAAUCCUGUUCCACUGUAGUCACAGCUUGAAGACUUCUAUGAAGGAUCCCAAAUGCAGGUUUACCAAGAUAACCCGGUGGGAGUGGUUAAGAAUAAAUAGCUCAAGUCCUGUCACCACUGGCUAGUCUUAUUGUGGCUUUCCAUUUUCAUUCUGAAUUCUAUGACCAUUUUGAAUACAUUGGCUUUCUGAAAAAAAAAUAUGCACACUGUGAGGGAAAAGGUGAUUGCUGAUUUUAAGCCUCACUUCUGAUGGGGCUACCAUGCCAUUCCCAGUGUAACACCUGUGCAACCUUGAAUUGAUCAAGCAAGAUUUUUAUUCUCCACAUCAGGGAAAGAAGAAUAAAUAAAGGAAGAAAGAAAGAAUGAAUGAAUGAAUGAAGAAAGAAAGAAAGAAAGAAAGAGAACGAGAGAGAGAAAGAGAAAGAAAGAGAGAGAAAGAGAAAGUGAAAGAGGAGAAGGAGAAAGAGAAAGAGAAAGAGAAAGAGGAAGAGGAAGAGGAAGAGGAAGAGGAAGAGGAAGAGGAAGAGGAAGAGAAAGAGAAAGAGAAAGAGAAAGCAAGCAAAGAAUUAUUUCAAUGCGAAAAUACUUAAGGGAAUUGCAAACUGUGACCAAAAUUUCCUACAGGCUGGUAAAAAUGAUGGUUCAAGAUAGGACAUCUCAAGUCUUUAUGUUGCCUCUUCUACACAGUGAGUGUUUACAUAUGCUGAGCUCUGUUCCACAACUGAAGAGAUGCCUCAGGAAGCAC
rnacentral:lncRNA from 1 species